GAUUGGUGGAAGGAAGCACAUACAAUAUUUAAAAGCAAUUACAAUGAAAGCAUAUACCUAUAUACAUGUAAAUAUACAUGUAUAUAUACAUGUAUGAAAAUUUAUAGUACAAGUCUAUAAUGAAAAAAUAACCCUAAAAGAAUUACCCUAAUUAAAACUCUCAAGUGGAUCAAAGUAAAUCUGUUGAAAUCAAAUAAGCAUAUCACUUGAGAUAUGUAUACCUGAUGAUUUU